ACCUUGAGAAGUUUCCCAAUGUAGUUAAUGGGAAGAACACAGAUGACAAUGAUGUCUGACCCAGCACCAUCAUUCACUAACCACGUGGCCUCUGGCCAGGCAUCUACCUUCUCAGAGACUCAGAGUUUCUCUUCCAUGAAGAGGGCUGCUGAAAUUAAGUAGCAUUUAUGGUUUUCUGAAGGGCCUAGGCCAGCGACUGACAGAGAGAGAUAUUGAACAGAGAGCUGCUGAAUGGGUGCACAUGUUCUAUGGGUAAAGGAGUCUUCAUGAAGACUGAGCAGGGACAACCUAAAAGAGGGUCUGAUGGAGGAGAGAAAGCAGGCUGAUCCUGGGCCCUUGGGUGCUGGAGGAAGAGGCCCCCUGAAGGGAGCAGGAGAAGAAAGGACAGCAGAGGAGUGCUGAAAUUCACCUUGCUGACUGCCCUGCUGACUGCCCUGGGCCACUGUUCUUGGCUUUAGGAGAUUCAAAGUCUAAGAAAGAUCCCUUUCCCCUGAUCCGCCAAAGUUUUCAUUUCCUGGAGAAAUAGCUUCUCUCUCUGCGUGUUUCCGUCAACUCUCAGCAAGACCUGAACAAGUGCAUGAAGGUGAUAAACCUGCUACUUCACUGGGGCUGUUUAUUUCCAGUCGACAAAUAUUGUGCCAAUGUUCACUUCAAUUAGGGGACACAUUUGACAAUCUGACUACUCCAUCUGAUGCCUCAAGGGCAAAUUUCAGCUCUUUCAGGAAGGGAUGGGCCAAUAACGGAUUCGUAUGAAUAAAAUAUACAGAGAAGGAACAUUCGCAGCAGUUUGGGGAAACCACCUUCUCCAGCAAGGAGAGCAAAAUGUCUACAUGAAGAUAAAAUUCACAUAAAUAAAGCAUGGGGCUUAAACUGUUGGGAUGCUGGGAAUUCAGAGUGAAGGCUCCUGUGCCUGCUUGCCCAUCACCUGCCUGGAGUUGGGAAUUAAGAAGUGCAAAUCAGCACUAAGGAGCCUAAGACAUUUGUAAUUCUAUGGAAGAAAAUCAUUGUGGCAGAGUUCAACUCGCUAAGAAUCUUACUCGUUUAUUCCAGUUUUAAAAACCAUCCUAGCAACCAGAAGUUUUUUGUGGUGUUUAAUUUUUAAUCCUUCUGUUUAAUUCCCUUUCUUCUUUAUUACCCUGAAGAUAAUCAGAAAAGCUGCUCAGCAUCCCCUUUUUACAGCUUUUCACAUCCUGGAAGGUAGAGUCAAGGACCAGGUCCCAUGAAUAGAGCUCUUCCUGCUCGGAAUUGACCUUGGGUCCAUGUUACCCUUUUCCUGGCAGCAGCAGACUAGAGGAUGAGUUAGGUCUUCUGUAGCACCUGCCUUGGGCAAGUGCCAUCAGCUCGCUGGACUCCUGUAUUCCCAUCAGGGAAAGGGAAAGUCAGUUCCUUCCUCAUCUUGGAAGGGUCUCCUGGGAAUCAAGUCAGGUGCUAAGAGGGGAAGGAAGUGAAAGUUUGAUAGAAAUGAAGGGACUCUCGUCGUUUGGUUCCUGUUUUUUGGGCUGACCUGGUCAGUACAAAGAACUCCCAGAGGCAGCUUCGUCACUGAGAUGGGAAAACAAAAGCAAAAAUUACCCUUAAGGCCAGGCUCAGUGGCCCACACCUAUAAUCCCAGAACUUUGGGAGGCCAAG
rnacentral:lncRNA from 10 species